rnacentral:miRNA from 1 species
UCCAAAUCCCAAAUUUUGUCUGGUGAUGAAAACUGAUGACAGUCAGGUUCCCACUACCAAACAAAGUUUGGAAUUUAGAU